CGCCAGUAAUCUGCGAGAGUCACCUGUUAGAACCUCCGGAGUGACGAAUCUUCACUGAGAAGAAAACAAGUGAGGAGGAGAGAUUGGGGAUUUAGAUGUGGGGGCUCCUGCUGUGAGCAAUUCACUACAUGGAGUUCCUGGAGGUGUGUCAAGGCCUACAGGCUAUGGAGGAACAGAGGGCACUGAGCAGGUAUAAACAAAGUGUCUGAGUUCCAUUCCUCUGUAGAACGAAGAAGUGUGUGCUUGAAGACCUGGAUUAGGUCCUGU